rnacentral:rRNA from 1 species
AACGAACGCUGGCGGCAUGCCUAACACAUGCAAGUCGAACGAGACCUUCGGGUCUAGUGGCGCACGGGUGCGUAACGCGUGGGAACCUGCCCUUAGGCUCGGAAUAACUCCCCGAAAGGGGUGCUAAUACCGGAUAAUGUCUUCGGACCAAAGAUUUAUCGCCUUUGGAUGGGCCCGCGUUGGAUUAGCUAGUUGGUAGGGUAAAAGCCUACCAAGGCGACGAUCCAUAGCUGGUCUGAGAGGAUGAGCAGCCACACUGGGACUGAGACACGGCCCAGACUCCUAGGGGAGGCAGCAGUGGUGAAUAUUGGACAAUGGGCGAAAGCCUGAUCCAGCAAUGCCGCGUGAGUCAUGAAGGCCUGAGGGUUGUAAAGCUCUUUUACCCGCGAUGAUAAUGACAGUACCGGGAGAAUAAGCUCCGGCUAACUCCGUG